rnacentral:rRNA from 1 species
GUGGGGAAUCUUCCGCAAUGGACGAAAGUCUGACGGAGCAACGCCGCGUGAGUGAUGAAGGUCUUCGGAUUGUAAAGCUCUGUUAAUCGGGACGAAAGAGCCUAGUGUGAAUAAUGCUAGGAAGUGACGGUACCGGAAUAGAAAGCCACGGCUAACUACGUGCCAGCAGCCGCGGUAAUACGUAGGUGGCAAGCGUUGUCCGGAAUUAUUGGGCGUAAAGCGCGCGCAGGCGGAUCUGCCAGUCUGUCUUAAAAGUUCGGGGCUUAACCCCGUGAUGGGAUGGAAACUACAGAUCUAGAGUAUCGGAGAGGAAAGUGGAAUUCCUAGUGUAGCGGUGAAAUGCGUAGAUAUUAGGAAGAACACCAGUGGCGAAGGCGACUUUCUGGACGAUGUCUGACGCUGAGGCGCGAAAGCUAGGGGAGCGAACGGGAUUAGAAACCCUGGUAGUCC